GCAGGAGAAAAAGUUAAGUUUUUCCUGCCCAUCGCCCAAUGGCUCAAACGCAUCGCUCUCUCGGCAAAACCGAAAGGAGGAGCAACUUGCCAUUUGGAUAUAUUGAAGCUGUGUUUGUGCCCUCACUCAUGGUCCAGACUUUUUUCAAAAAGGACAUGGAGUUUGUCUGCAGCGAGCGUUUUGGUAGAAACUGCGCCUCCCAUUCAUUAUAAUGGUAAAUGACCACAGACAAGUGCGCACACCAUCUUUGGACCUUGAGUGUGACUCGAUCGGGAGGGGGAGGGGGUCGCGCUGGGGGCAGCACGACACGGCUCGGGCCCGCCAGUGCCCCAGCGGGGCCCUAGUUCGUUAUUAUUUUUCCUCCGCUUCAAACUGGAAAAUGGCCCACUUCCCACUGGCGAAAACUCAGGACAUUUGGCAGGACGACCGGGCCUGGUGAAAAAUUCGAUAUUCUGAAGUCGCCCAAACAAUAAAAUGCAAAAUGGCUCCAUAGCGCCCCCUAAGGUGAAAAUUCACAUGACGGCUGUACGCUUUGUCAUAUUGACACAAAAAUUGACACACACAUGUAUCUCAAUAAGAUCUACAAAAAAGUCAGUGCGGGCGUAUCUGUCAAAUUUACGGUUAAUGGGUUAUUUUGCAUUUUUUGCAGAUCUGCACACAUUGGAAUUUCGCUAACUCCUCCGAAGGCUUUCGUUCGACCGGCACCACAUUUGCGCAGGCCAAUCUACCCCCCAUGGCCAUUAAAAGUUGUACAAAUCAUGACGCUGCACCCCACGGUUUACGUUCUAGGGGGCGCCAAAGAUAACCCAAAAAUCCACAUUCUUAAAAGUCUUAUAAAUUUUUACUUUUGUCCUCACUGGCCUCCAAGUUUUCUAGGAUGAUGCAAUGUCCAGCCAUCAACACAUUUGUGAAGGAAUUUUUACUCGCCAAAAGAGCGCCCCCCAUGGCAGGAGAAAAAAGUCCAUUUUUUCUUGUCCCCUAAGGCGAAUAUACACAUUGUUGAGUGUCACGCCUGUACGCUUUGUCAUAUUGACACAAAAAUUAACACACACAUGUAUCUCAAUAAGAUCUACGAAAAAGUCAAUGUGCGCGUAUCUGUAAAAUGUACAGUUAAAGGGCUAUUUCGCAUUUUUUGCCGAUUCGCACACAUUGGAAUGUGGCUAACUCCUCCUAAAGCUUUCGUCCCAUCGGCACCAAAUUUGCUCAGGCCAAUCUACACCCCAUGGCCAUUCAAAGUUGUACAGAUCAUGACGCUGCAUCCCACGGUUUACGUUCUAGGGGGCGCCAAAGAUGACCCAAAUAUCCACAUUUUUAAAAGUCUUAUAACUUUAUUUUUGUCCUCACUGGCCUCCAAGUUUUCUAGGAUGAUGCAAUGUCCAGCCAUCAACACAUUUUUGAAGGAAUUUUUACUCCCCAAAAGAGCGCCCCCCCAUGGCAGGAGAAAAAAGUCAAUUUUUUCUUGUCCCGUAAGGUGAAAAUUCACAUUGUUGAGUGUGACACCUGUACGCUUUGUCAUAUUGACACAAAAUUUGACAAUCACGUGUAUCUCAAUAAGAUCUACGAAAAAGUCAAUGGGUGCGUAUCUGUCAAAUGUACGGUUAGAGGGCUAUUUUGCAUUUUUUGCCGAUUGGCACACAUUGGAAUGUGGCUAACUCCUCCUAAGGCUUUCGUUCCACCGGCACCACAUUUGCUCAGGCCAAUCUACACCCCAUGGCCAUUCAAAGUUGUAAAAAUCAGGACGCUGCACCCCACGGUUUAUGUUCUAGGGGGCGCCAAAGAUGACCAAAAAAUCCACAUUCUUAAAAGAAUCCACAUUCUCCCCCCCCAUGGCACGAGAAAAAGUCAAGUUUUUCCUGCCCAUCGCUCAAUGGCUCAAUCGCAUCGCUCUCCAGGCAACACCGUAAGGAGGAGCAACCUGCCAUUUUGAUAUAUCCCAGCUGUGUUUGUGCCCUCACUCAUGGUCCAGACUUUUUUCAAAUAGGACAUGAAGUUUGUCUGCAGCGAGUGUUUUGGUAGAAACUGCGCCUCCCAUUCAUUAUAAUGGGAAAUGACCACAGACAAGUGCGCACACCAUCUUUGGACCUUGAGUGUGACGCGAUCGGGAGGGGGAGGCGGUCACGCUGGGGGCGGCACGACGCGGCUCGGGCCCGACAGUGCCCCAGCGGGGCCCUAGUACUUUUUUUUCUUCUUUGGUAGGUGAUCCUUGAGACGACACAAAAUCAGUUGGCUGGUCUAGGUCAAACAGAUAUGCAGGUCAAUAGUAUAAAGGUAAACUGCACUUUGAAAUUAAAAGGAUUUUCUCUGAAGACCAGGUUUAUUUUACCUAUAUGUAAAUAAUAAAAACCUGCAUUUGUAUUAUGGCAGAAUUAAAAUGCUAUAAUUACAUUUUGUCAACAGUGUAAAAAACAUCAACUGGUGUUCGCAAACGUUUCCACAUUGGAAAAAUGCGUACAGUGUGUUGGACCAGUGUCCUCUUUAAGGUGGACUGGCUAUCAGUGUCGAGGUGAGCUAUUUGGUGAAGUCUCAUACAUUGUUUCAAAAGCUAAUUAUUAUACAUGUCGAGGGAAAAAAUGAAAUUCCAGGGGCUGUUGGAUGAUGUUUUCUGCCUGCAGUAUACAGUAUGUUGCAAGAAAAAGAAGAAAAUAGAAUUACGAUAGAGAGAGAGCAAAAAUUUAGUUAUAUAUGUGAAUAAAAGGGCAAUCCUAUUUUCUCUUAAUAAGGUACUUAAAUUUAUAUUUUGUUUUCAAAUCCAAAUUUUCUUUCACUUUAACCUCACUUGCUUCAGCUCUCUUACAGCAGCUCUAAAACCAUCACAAACCAGAGCAAACAGGCAAAGAGAUACAUUUCACAUUAAACUUAACAAAUAAACAAUUAUUAUAUAUGAAAAGAUGAUAUGAUGCAUACUUUUUCAUUUAAGUUCUUUUUCUUUUCAUUCCUUUCAGUCAUUCUGGCAUCUGUUUAUUCACAUCAGGGCUGCAGCUGAAAUGCUGUUUAAUAUAAAAAUAAAAAUUAAUAGGAAAUGUUGUAGUCAGAGUGAUCUAGCUGCUCGAAUGAUAGAGAGGGAUAAAAUAACACUUGUUUGGUGCUUUUGCAGUAGGUAUUUUUUUGUUUUGUGACAGUUCUAAAAGUUUUAAAAAGCAGGUGAUCUGCUGGCAUGAAACUUGGCCAUAAAUGUUGCCAACCUUGCCCUUUAUAGGUAGAUAGAUAGAUAGAUAGAUAGAUGUACUUUAUUAAUCCCGAAGGAAAUUCAAGAGUGGUCAACUGC
rnacentral:lncRNA from 1 species